CUUACUCCUACGGGAGGCAGCAGUGAGGAAUAUUGGACAAUGAGCGAGAGCUUGAUCCAGCCAUGCCGCGUGCAGGAAGACUGCCCUAUGGGUUGUAAACUGCUUUUACAGAGGAAGAAACACCCCUUCGUGAGGGGGUUG
rnacentral:rRNA from 1 species